rnacentral:lncRNA from 1 species
GCGGAAUAGUAAAGAAUCUGCCUGCCAAAUUCAGGAGAUGCAGGAGACUCAAUCCCUGGGUUGAGAUUUAAUCCGUGGGAUUCAAUCCCUAGGCCAGGAGGAUCACCUGCUGAAGGAAACCCAUGGACAGAGGAGACCGGUGGUCUAUAUAUUGUCCAUGGGGUCGCAGAGUCGGACACAACUUAGCAAACUAAACAACNNNNNNNNNNNNNNNNNNNNNNNNNNNNNNNNNNNNNNNNNNNNNNNNNNNNNNNNNNNNNNNNNNNNNNNNNNNNNNAAUGAGACUCUAGCGUCUAAUCUGCAACACCUAUGGCUAAGGAGGAAAACUGUUGUUAAAUUUCCAGUUGAGAGGUUAUGGAGAGGGGCAUAAUCACAGGUCUUUGAUCACUCAGGAAAUCACAGAACCUGUAACAGAUUUCAGAAAGAAAUCAUAAGAAAGUACUCAGCCCUAUAACUUGGGCAGGCUCAAAAUGAAACUGGAAUCAUUUUCCAUAUUUAUUAUAGGGCAAUCAAGUAACAGACUUUUUUUUUUAACUUUUUCAACCAAUUAUGAAAGAUGGUAAGCAUGCAUUUUCUUGGGAUACGUUGGAUAAGGCCUUAAAUAAGCAUGAUUUGUUCUAAAGUCAGAUAGAUCUUUUUUUAUCCCCAUUCCACAUUUUACAUUUUUUAGAAAAUAAAGCAGGAAAUUGCUUCAAUAAAAUGCCUGGAAGAAAAUCAAAUAUUUUCAAACCAUUUCGAGGAAAGGAAUUUUUGUAAAAUUAAAACUUGCCAAGGGAGAAAAAAACAAGUAAUAGGUAAGCCUUAAAAUCUCAAAGAGGAAAACAAAAAACCUCAGCUAUAAUGCCUUUAUCCAUACCAUCAUACACCAUGAUUCAACUCUCCUUCCACUGGGUCAUUUAUCAUUCAUACCUGGACCGGCACCAGGAUUCUCUCACCUCCUACAUGACAGGAGUCCAAAGGAGGAGGGAAGACAACUUCUUGUCUGCCUCUUUCGGCUGUCACUUGCAGCUCUGCUUCCAAGCCAAAAGACAGUGUUGCCUCUCGUCAACAGAUGCUAUCUGACAGGACUAAUACUUGGCACAGAAACUGCUAACACAUCCAGAAACUAAUCUUCUUUGAAUUCAGCUUCAACUCUCAGAAGCUGGCUGUGGAAUACACUAUAAUAGAAAAUUCACAUUUUGAAAAACUGGACAGAGUAGUUACCUCAGAUCCACUGUUCAAGACUGCUCCAUACAUUUCUUUCAACAGUUAAACUAAUAUUUAAACUUCAUGAGCAUGUCAUUGAUUAGAAUGUGUGUUACAUUUUCCUAAACUUACUCUUCCUUUAUAUCACUGUCUUCAUCAAAGAGAAUUAACUUGGUUGUCUGAUUCUGAUGCCAAUUUUUAUCUUUUGCAAUGGGUUUUCCAUCUUAGGCCCCACACUCUAUAUUUCUCCCAUUUUGACUUUUUCUUUAAAUGCAUCUAUCUUUUUGUUCUAUUAAAAUCAGUCGGUGAUCUGAUCGCUAAAAUGCUGCUUAUAGAAUACCAUUGUUAAGCUUUCAUUACACUGCUUGUUAAAGUCAAAAAAAGUUAAUAAAAGUUGAUGUUAGACUUGAAAAGAUUAUUUUCAAUAAAUAUUGUUUUAAAAGAAAAAAAAUCCUCUGUGUACAGCCACACUUGGCAUUUAGUAGUUUUUUAAAAAAAUUUCAGAAAAGGCAACAGCUGGCCAGGAGGUUAAGCCAGAUCAAUUCUGUAUCUGCUGGGCACAGCUAGUUCUUUCUUCAUCCCAGUUAAGGAAUGUGAAAUGCAACAUAUGAAAGCUGGGCUGCACCAAAUUGAAAAUUUUAUUUCCUAAUAUCUUAACUAUACCUCUGCUUAAACUGCUGCAGAUUCACGGCUUAACACACAACCAUCUUUUUUGCUCACAGUUUUGAGGACCAGCAAUUUGGUCUGUGUUCAGCUGGGUGGUUCUUAUCUGGUCUUGCCUGGGUCACUCACAAUUGCAGCAAUCAGGCAUGCUGAUCUAAGGGGACCUCACUCACAGAUCUGUGGCUGGCGCCAGUGAUAGAUGCAGCCUCUCUCUCCACAUGGUCUCUUAUCCUCAUCGACUAGUCCAGGCUUUUCCACUCAGUGGUCCCAGAGAUCCAAGAGGGGGAGAACUCUCAUGAGGUCACUUCCUCAGCAUUCUACCAAGCAAAGUACAAGGCAAGCCUAAAUUCAAGGAGGUAAAAAAAUAGUCCCCAUCUCUUGACAGGAAGAGAUAUAAAGUCACACUUCACAGGAGUGUGCAUACAAGGGAAAAAUGUGUAGCUACUUUUUUUUUUUCCCCAAUCUGCUACACUAAUCAUAGCUCAAAAUUCAGAAACAAUACAGAAAAAGAUUAAUCAAUUUGAUUAUAUAAAAACUAAAAAUCUCUUAUUUUACAAAAACA